UACGGAGGGUGCAAGCGUUAUCCGGAUUCACUGGGUUUAAAGGGUGCGUAGGCGGGCAGGUAAGUCAGUGGUGAAAUCUCCGAGCUUAACUCGGAAACUGCCGUUGAUACUAUCUGUCUUGAAUAUUGUGGAGGUAAGCGGAAUAUGUCAUGUAGCGGUGAAAUGCUUAGAUAUGACAUAGAACACCUAUUGCGAAGGCAGCUUACUACGCAAUCAUUGACGCUGAGGCACGAAAGCGUGAGGAUCAAACAGG
rnacentral:rRNA from 1 species